rnacentral:lncRNA from 1 species
AAAGCAACAAAGGGAGCUCAAGUGGAGACUUCCUCAGCAAAAGCAUUGCACUGCUUAAAUGAUUCAGCUUUUGAGUGAAAUGAAAGGCGGGACUAAGACCAGGAAGAACCACGACCUACCCUACUCCGGAGUACGGACCCCAGGAGGACUAACAGCCUCUGGGCUCUCGAACAGCACAGAGUGUAAGGGGUUCGGGAGGAGGGAUUUCACUCCGGCGAAUUUUCAGGACAAAGAAAAACCUGUACCAAUCCUCUUUCCUUUUAACCAAAUCUAAUAUGUCCAAAUGCAUUAGUACUCUCUAUUUCCUCCAAAGAUAAUUGGCAGACAUCGAUGUCUCUCCUUUUAAGUAACUGCCAAAGAGUACACUAAAAAGCUCUAGGGAAUCUGGUAAGCCAUUUGUAAUGAUGUCAAUAGGUUUAAAUAUCACACUAACAAUGAAUCACUCUUCCAUUAACAAAAUUAUUUCUAAAACUGCCAUCAUCAUUAUUUCAAUAAAUGUGCAUUUGUUAUAUCA